rnacentral:lncRNA from 1 species
CUUAAUUUUAUAGCAUCCAAACAUAUUUUUCCUCCAAAAUUUCAAAAAGUCAUUCUUUGUCCAUAAAUUUUCUAUUAACACUUGGCUCAUUUUUGCUCAAAUUGCUUCAAUUUUGUGGAGAUCUUCGAAUUAAAGGUAAACAUUCUGAUUUCUUAUGGUUUAAACAUUUAAAGUGUAAUUCAAUUCAUGUUUUCAUAGAUCUAAGCAAGAAAUCAUAGGAUCUAUGGUUUUGAAGCUUGAUUUUGCAUAAAAAUGGUGAAUCUCGUAAUAGAGGGCUAAGUGAUGGUUUUAAAAUGAUUUUCAACUUAUUUUGACAUGAUUAAAAGAUUUAUAAAUUUAAUUUAAUGAAUCCCUAAAGAAAUUACAUGAAUCAAAUGUUGAUUUGUGAUUUCAAAAUGAAUCAAAUGGUUUUAAAAUGAUUUUCAACUUAUUUUUCUUCUUGAGAUUAAAAGCGAACGUGAUUUCAAAAAAAUGUUGAUUUGUGAAAUUGAGUAAAAUUAAUGGUUUAAAUCUGUAAUUAAGCAUUAGAUCUGAUGUUAGGAAGUGAAAAUAGAGGAUUUACUUGAGUUUAAUUGAAGUAAUUAGAGGAUUUAAAGUAACACGAGUUGAGCUCGCUAGAUUUAGGAGAGUGAUGAGCUGCUAUGUUGUUAGGUGGAUAAUUUGUCUGUUUAAGAAUGAAAAUAGUUUGUAUUUAUAUUGUGUUAUGCGAAGCCUCUGAGCAUGAAGAAGUUGCCACUUUCACACCCUAUACCCGGUCUAGUCGUCGGACCCGAUUAUAAGAUGCUACAACAGUAAACCAAAACAUUCACAAGCAGUUUAUUCAAUAUUACUCAAUAAUCAAUAAAUGUAAGUUAACUCCUUGUUAAACAUAUAUUACAAUCAAAUUCAAGUCUUAGUUGGCUUAUGAAAACCUUUGAACAAGUUCAAAACUAAAUCGGGACCAAUCUGAAACAUUUACAAUAUAACAGGUAAAAUGCAAAAUAGGGGUCACACGAUUGUGUGACAGCACAGAGACCGUGUAGUGUAGGGAGACGGUCGUGUGGCCAAAUCGUGUGACAGAACUCAAACCGUGUGGAAGGAGACACACGAUCGUGUCUCCAAACUGUGUAACCGACUGAUGCCAUGUGGACCUAAAAUUUCAAAGUUUAAAUCGAGCACACAACUGUGUUACCAACCGUGUGGGGCACACAGCUAUGUGGCAAACCGUGUCACAAGCCGUGUGUAUCCAAAGCACCUUUAAACACAAGCAAUGUCAUCCAUCUUUUCUUAAAAAUCAAGCUAUACCAUUUGCAUUUAUUUAUACCAAGUCAAAACUCACUAAAACAUGUCAAAACAUGUUCAUUGAACAUUCAAUCUAAACCUAACCAAUAUGUCCUUAAUGGCAUCACAAUAUAAUCAUGAAACAACAACCAUCCAAAACAUUAACAUUCAUGCCAAGAUUUUUCAUGCCUACACAUACUUAUACAAUUAUCAUUGCUUUAACUAAGAUAUCAAUAAGCAAAGUUCAAUAAGUGACAUAAAACAUAAAAAAUCUAUUUUCACAAUUUAUGUAUACCUUAUUAAAUUAUGCCAUUAACCAUUUUAUACCAUUCAAGCCAUUUACUCCAAACAUCAACAAUUACCAACAUUUAAUAUCAACUCAUGCUAUUACCUAAACUUACACAUAAUCCCAUUCAAAUAUUGGCUAACAUUAUCAACUUACUAAAUGUCAAUUAGGUACCAAGCACUUAAUACAUCAAGGUUAGUUAUAAUCUUAUUCAUAACCAAAGUACUAAAACAUGGUCGUUAAUUUGCAAAGUAGACACCCUAUAUACAUGCCACAAGUAAUCAUACUUUCAAACUUACAAAACUACCGAGUUAGAAGAUAGUAGGUGUGAGCUUCUGCUAAUCAAAUCGACAUGUUACGAGUAUUCAAAAUCUACAGAAUAAUAAUAACAGAAGUAAUCAUAUAAAAUACUUAGUAAGCUCAUACAAUUCAAUUCAAUAACUUACCUUACUCAUUUAAUAGUUAAUUGCAAAUAGCUAUUCAAAAUAUUAUCCCUAUCACGACAUAGUUCAAAAAAUUUCGGGUCAAUAAAUAACGAACAUACAUGUAUUCAAAGAUCAUAUUUCGUCCACAUUAAUGAUACAAUUUCACACUGUAUAUCCUUUGAUUUUCCAAUGGAAUUUUGUAAAAGUAACUCAGUACACGAGUGCGGCUAACAUAAGAUGCUCGUCCGAGCUAGUCAUAUACAGAAACAUAAGUGUCAGGUUACCCGUCCAGGCUAAACCAGUGACCACAGAAAAAUAGCCUAACCAAGGCUAUAAAUAAAUGUAAGGUUACCAGUCCAGGCUAAACCUUUAAAGUGACAACAGAUUACCAUUCCAAGCUAAAUUUGUGUCAAAUGUAUAUCCAACUUCGCAACAAAUACUGGAGCUCGGUCUAGUCGGGAAUCAAUCUAAAACCUCGUAUAUGAGACUUUUACUCGGUCCAUCGCAAUUAUCUCAGAAUUCAAUUAAUUACCAAAUAGUCUGAAUCCAAUUUCAGUAGUUUCUAUAUGUAUAUAAUUAACAAAAAUUAAUAAAAAAUUAUAAUCAUAGAAGUAGUAUGAACUUACCUGACAAAACCGUAGCAGUUUAGCUAUCAGGGACUAUUCGGCAGUUUUCAUAUUUUUGCCUAAGUCAACAACUUGAUCUAUAUAAUAGUUAAGAUUCAAAAUAUAAAUAUCAAUCUCAUAAUAACACUCAAAUUCAUGCUUACAAUCUUUUAAUUUCAUUUUACAUAAUUUCCCUAAACUUUUAUAUUUUAUUCAAUUUAGUCCCUAAAAUAAAACUUAUCAUAACUUCCUAAUUUGGACUUCAAACUUUAAAUUAACUUCAAAUAAAUUCAAUUACAUUCAAAUAUUAUAAAAUUUUUUAGAAAUUACAUAUCAAUUUUAGGAUAUUAAUAAUUUAGUCCUUAUGUUCAAAAUUAAUAAAAAUCACAUUAUAAAUUAGUCCUUAAACAUUUCAUAGCUUCCAAAUCUACAAUUUCAUGUCAAAAACAUCUAAGAUUCAUCAAUGACAAGUUUUAAAAUCUUUAACAAUUUCAAAAUCAGAGAUACGUAUUAGUUGGACCUAGUUGCAACGAUAUCAAAAACAUUAAAAUUACAAGAAACAUGAUUGAUUUGCUUACCAAAAAAGAGGGUCGAAUGUUACUUGAAGUUUUUCAAUGGCUUCUCAAUUUUUCUUUCCUUCCAAACGGUGGAGAAUUAGCAAAUAGAAGAUGACAACUUUACUUUUAUGUGCUAUUCCUGUAUUUAAUAUAAUUAUAUAAAUAUUAAAAUUCAUUUCUUUAACUUAAUCCAUCAAACCGACCACUCAUAAUAAAAAUUGUCUUGUUUCCAUGUAGAACCUCAAUCUAAUAAUAUUUAACCUUUUUAUCAAAUAAAAAUCAAUAGCGAAAGAGUUUUACAAUUUUUACGAUUUAGUCCUUUUUACUUAAUUAACUAUCAAAUCGUUAAAAUUUUCGAACCAAGAUUCAAUAUACCUAUAUAUUAAGUCCAUAAAUAUUUAAAAUAUUUACGGGCUAGGUUUACAGAAACAAGGUCCCAAAACCUCAUUUCCAAAACAACUUGACUUUUGGAACAACCCACUUGUACUUAACUAAUUAUCCAAUUAAAUAAAAAUUAUCAAAUAAAAUUCACUAUACCAUAAUACUUGACUCGUAAAUAUUAAAUAAUAAUAUUUGUAUACUCACUUAUAGGAAUUGUGGACCCGAAACCAUUGUUUCUGACACCACUAAAAAAUGGGUUGUUACAGACACAUCAUGCAAUGACAAAGGCAAUCAGAAGGUGGUGUAGGUUCGGUAGUAUCAAUGAUUCAAUGGGUCAGUGUUCUUGUUUAACUCACUUAAAUACCAAUUCGCAUGCUCAAGGAAGUCCAGGUAAGGCAUGCGAACCCUAUUAUAUUUUCACUUGAACGUUGUUAAGUUUAUGUGAGCCUUGAAUUGUGAUUUGUGAACCUUUUAUAGUGUGUGCGAGCUAUAUAUGUGUCAUGCGAGCUCGUGAUAUGUGAACUCUAAAUAUGUGAACCUUAUCGCUUUCAAGUAUGUGAGCCUAUAUGUGAGAGCUUAUAUAAGUAUGCGAGCCAUAAACAUGUGUGAACCCAGAUGUUGCAUGCAAGCCCUAAUUAUAUGCGAGCCUUAAAUGUAUGCGAGUAUUAUAUUAUGUCAUGUGAACCCUACUGAUGUAUGUGAACCUGUGCAUGUACGAACCUAUUGACGUAUGUGAGCCUAUACCAUAACGCGAACCUGAUGUUAUUGAGAACCUAUAUGUAUAUUGUGAGCCUAUAGAAAUGCGAGCUCUGCUAAAUGUGAACUGUACUAUUAUGCAUACUGUUAUGUGUAAGCUCUGCAGUAUUACGAGCCCUACUAUAUUUGUGCAUUGUGAAUGUGAUAAAAAUGAUAUGUUGGCAUUGUGAUCAUUUAAAAUUGUUGGAUAACAUCGGCAUGCCACAGGAUUGUGAGUACUCGCAUUUUUUACGAUGUGUUAAGACAUUGUGGCUCGGUGAUAGCAUCAGAGAGAUUAAUCAACCAUAGCUCCAUUCAUCGUAAAUAGCGUGGAUUAUUUUGGAGAGUAUGAGCACUCGUGCUAAACUUAUCAGAGAUAGCGUACGACUUUUUGAGGCAUUUGGAGUGGUUUGGAGAUCCACUUAUCCAAUGUGUAUAUAAGAUGAUUAUGUUUCACAUCCACUAUUUGUCAAUAUAUCACUAUGAUAUGCAUGACAUUGUAUUAUACAUGAGAUAUUAUAGCAUGUUUAUUUUCUAGCAUGAAUGAUGUGUUAGCAUUCACUGAGCUUCAAUAAGCUCAUACUCCUUGCAUAUACCUUGCUGAUAGGUAGCUUGCAAGAUUAGUGGUGAAGCGUGGUAGUCUAGUGGUCCAACACAAGGCAAAUCCCUUUAAGUAUGUGAUUGUGUUUCAAACCCUAAAUUAGAAGGUAAUGUGGGACUGUCCUAAGGGGUUACAAUUAGACUUUGACUUUUAAAUAAAUGUUGAUGGGUUGUAAACGAACAUUACCAACUGUUUAGUUUUGGAUUUUGGAAUUUAUAAUUUCUUGGUUGAAUGUGUGAUUGAUUGAAUUUUAUAUAUGUUGGUUGUUAUCAAAUUGAAGAGCUAAAAAGUUUUUGUAGGUUAAGGAACUCAUUGGUUCUUAAGGUACGCCCUUACCUUUUAUGUAUGAUGAAGCAAAUUAAUGGCUUAGUAUGCAUAAGAUAAAGAUAAUAACUUGUGAAUAAAUACCAGCAAGCCAACUAAACAUAGGGCAAGCUAGGGGUUGCAGGAUGAUAGGACAAUGCCAUAGCCCCGAUUUUGAGAGUUCGCUAGAGAUAAUACUGGCCAAGUGAGGGGUUCACCAAGAAAAAACCACAAGCUUACCAAAGCUAGUGUCCGCCAAAAUAUCGUCUUCAAACCAUAGAGAGUCGACCAUGUAGGUUGGUUCACCAGUGCAGAUUAGUUCGCCAAGGUAAAUAGGUUUGCCAAUGUGAGCAUGUACACUUAGAUAGAGAGUUUGCCUUGUUAAUUAGGUUCGACAAAUAAAUGAGUGUCGCGAGUGUGUUAUCCACCUAGGCAGUGUGUAGUUAUUAAGGGAGACACGUGUGUCAUAGGAUAGGAUACGAACCAGGGGGUUCGCAGCGCCAAUUGCGAGUUAGGUGUUGCGGGCAAGUUACGAGUUGUGCUUGCCAAGUGACACACGAGCUGCUAGGGUUUUGAAUAGGUCCGUCGUGAGGUGGGUUCACAAGUGACUUCAAACUUGAAAUUUUGUGCUUGUUUUUUAUGAUGUGUUUACAAAAGCAUGCAAAUAAGAUUAUUUUUAAUAUAAUUUAUGUUGCAAACGUAUGGUGUUGAUGCAUGCACGGAUGGGUGAAAUUUAUUAAAUUUCAUUCAUCGAAGCUGCCAAUUUUCAAGUUUGGAAUGGGAUCUAGGAAUUUCUACGUUGAGAUGUCUUAUGGUGUUCGAAGAUCUAUCUUUUAACUUCGAAAUGCACUUUUAAUCACUCAAUUUCGAGUUCAGGAGUUUAAGUUAUGACAGUUUUAGUGAAGACUGCGCAAGCAAAAUUUUAGGACAGGAUUAUUACAGAAAUUACAAGUUUCGGGCUUUUAAUUCAAGUUUAAUUCAUCUUGGGUUUGAUUUUUAGGCUUAAUUUUUAUUAUAUAUUAUUAUAUUAUUAUUUAUUAUUCCAAAUUUUGGAUUUUUAAGUAUUUUAAGUUGUUUAGGAGUUUUUGUUUCUUAGUCAAACAAGAAAGAUUAGUUUAAAACUACUUGUUUAGAUUAAUUAGAGUUUCAGUAUACUUUAAAGUUUUAUUUGGAUGUAUGUAGCUAGCUUAUAUAAAGACCUUUUCAUUGUUCAUUAAGCAAAUAAUUGUUUUUAUUAAUAAAUUUUUCAUCUCUAGGAGUUAGUUUCUUUGUGCAAAAAACAAAACAAAAUUGUUUUCAUUAAUAAAGUUUUCAACUCUGAAAGUUUGUUUCUUUGUGCAAGAAUUCUUUCUUGUGAUUUUUAGAAGUAGUUUUCUUCUUGAUUUUCUUUAAGGAGUCGUGAGAAUUCAUUCUUCAUCUUUCAAUUUGCAAAGAUUAUUUCUUAGAGGGUUGAUUACAGCCAUUAAUUGAGUUUGUUGGAUUUAUAUCUCAAAGGGUUCAAUUGGACAUUUAUCCUUUUAUCCAUCGAUUUAUCGUUCCAUCUUCCACUUUACUUUAAUCUAUAUUUUCUCUAUAUAUUUCUUAUUUGGAAUAUUUAUCCUUUAUUUUUUUUAUUUUUCUUAUUUUUCUUAUUUCCUUUGUUAUUUUCAAAAUUUAUUUUGGUUUCUUCCUUUCAUGUCACACCUAAAUUUAUUUUCUAAAUUCGAUCAUUCUUCCGCUUCCUCUGCCUCACUGACCUCAAAAUAAAAUUUUUCUUUUACCCAGAUAGUAUUUUGGAAAAAAAAUAUUUUUCAGUGGGUAAACAUUUUCCAAACGAUCUGAAAUUUUACAUAUUGAUUCUUGGCACUCUCUUAGAAUAUAAAAAAAAAGAUUUCCCACAAAAAAUAGUGAUCGAAAAAGUGAAAAAAUAAAAAAAUACGAAAAAGAAAGAAAAAAUAUUCUAUGGGUUGAAUUUUGUGCCGAAAUUUUCUAGAUUAGAUCUACACUAUUUGAGGAGACUUCGAUUUAAAUUUCGUGAUUUUUGGAAAUCAGGAACACCUCAAAUGAAAAAAUUUCCAAUUAUUUUCUAUUUUUUCGAGUUUUUGGUUGAGUAUUUUAUUUUUUUAUUCUAGAAUUAGGGUUUCUUUUGUUUUAGCUUUUCUUAUUCUAUUAUGUAUUCUAACACAUUUUCGUUUCUUGUGUUAAUAGGUACGAAAAGAGUUGCUUCUCCUUUCUCUGCGCAACUUACUUCCUUCAAAGUCGAGUUUUGCUUUGGCUUCUUUGAGCCUUAG